UCAACCUUUUAUUCUUUGUACCAAUAUUUACCAAAAUUAGCAAUAAGCACAAUUGAAUUAUAGGUGACUAACCAAUGGAAAAAUCUAAUCAACUUCCCAAAAGGUUAAUUUGUUGAAGAAAUAUGUACAAUAUAACUUAUUAUCACGUGGAAAACAUAGCAACAUGGACUCGACAACAGGAUAACUCUUCUAGUCAAUACAAGUUUACAUGGAGUCAAAUCCAAGUCCAACCAUAAGACCCAGCAAUCGUCAACAUGAACCUUGCUGGAAAGACAACAGCAGGAAUACCAAACACCUCUUUAUUUUCACCAAAUCAAACUUCUACAUCAAAUAAAAUCUCGAACUAUAAAUAAAUUGCCACAUUGGUAAUUAGUCGAGCACCUUUUAGUUCACUUAUAGAACCAAGACUGAUAAUAGAGACACUUCAACAUGCACUAGGUGAUCCUCCUGGGUGGGGGAUGGUAUCGUUAUCGGCCUUGUGGAACUUUAGGACUGCGCCCAUUAUUGGACUCGGCGCGGUCCUCUUCUUCUUCCUUUUGGGCUGUUGUUGUUUCUUUUGUUGAAGCUGCAAAAGUGGAUUGCUUAAUCUUCAGAAAAUUUAUCAAAUCCACACACACACACAGACAUAUAUAUAUAUAUAUAUAUAACUAAGAUUUUUUGAAUAAACUAAGUUUCAACAAACUAAUUAUAUAAGGCUUACCUUCUUAAAUGCCUCAACCAUUUGAGUGUUAAACAUAUCUUUGUAUUCCUUAGCAUACUCCAUUAGUUCUUCUUCAUUCAUGGUUUCCAUCCUUGCUAGCUGCAAAAAAUGUUGUCAUAUACAUGAAUGACGAGCAAGUACAUAUUAUACAAUUGUUCUAAGAACUACUUGAAUAUAUACCAUAACUCAUGAUUCCUAUCUAGAAAAAGUUGAUGUCUUGAUCAAACAACAUUUUUGAAACACAAAGUUUAUAUACAUUGAGACACUCCCCAUAGUAAAAGAAAGUAAGAAACAUCAAUAUUGAUUUUGCCAUUUACCCAUGCAUUGAAUUCCUCUAUGUGUCUCCUUGCAGAAUUAUCUUCAUUAUCUCCUUGAGCCAUAUCAACUAC
rnacentral:lncRNA from 1 species